rnacentral:rRNA from 1 species
GAAUCUUGGACAAUGGGCGAAACCCUGAUCCAGCAAUGCCGCGUGCAGGAUGAAGGCCUUCGGGUUGUAAACCGCUUUUGUACGGAACGAAAAGCCUUCGCUUAAUACCCUGGCGCCAUGACGGUACCGCAAGAAUAACGUCCGGCUUACUACGCUGCCGCACCCGCGGUAAUACAUAGGGUGCAAGCGUGACUCGGAAUUACAGGGCGUAAAGCGUGCGCAGGCGGUGUUGUAAGACAGAGGUGAGAACCCCGGGCUCAACCUGGGAGCUGCGUAUGUGACUGCGAGGCUAGAGUACGGCAGAGGGGGGUGGAAUUCCGCGUGUAGCAGUGAAAUGCGUAGAUAUGCGGAGGAACACCGAUGGCGAAGGCAACCCCCUGGGCCUGUACUGACGCUCAUGCACGAAAGCGUGGGGAGCAAACAGG